GACGAACGCUGGCGGCGUGCUUAACACAUGCAAGUCGAACGAUGAAGCCAGCUUGCUGGUGGAUUAGUGGCGAACGGGUGCGUAACACGUGGGUGAUCUGCCCCAAACUUUGGGAUAAGCCUGGGAAACUGGGUCUAAUACCGAAUAUGACCGAUACUCGCAUGGGUGUUGGUGGAAAGCUCCGGCGGUUUGGGAUGGGCCCGCGGCCUAUCAGCUUGUUGGUGGGGUAAUGGCCUACCAAGGCGACGACGGGUAGCCGGCCUGAGAGGGCGACCGGCCACACUGGGACUGAGACACGGCCCAGACUCCUAUGGGAGGCAGCAGUGGGGAAUAUUGCACAAUGGGCGCAAGCCUGAUGCAGCGACGCCGCGUGAGGGAUGACGGCCUUCGGGUUGUAAACCUCUUUCACCAGGGACGAAGCGAAAGUGACGGUACCUGGAGAAGAAGCACCGGCCAACUACGUG
rnacentral:rRNA from 1 species